rnacentral:lncRNA from 1 species
CUCCUGCUAUUAAGCCAUCCAAGCUUCUUAAACAAACCAAGGAUGCUGUCCGAAGAUGGAAACAUUCUAUUGGAAAUAUAUUUAAAAGGGGUCAAGAAUUAAAUCAGCAAAUUCUAUUACUUCAACAAGAAGAAGAACAAAAUGGUGCAUUGUCUAUUCAAGAUCAUAUGCAUUUGCUCUCCCUGUUGAGACAAUAUAAGCAUAAUUUGUAGUUUCAAGAAGUUUUAUAGAAAUAAAAAUCUAGAAUGCAAUGGAUCAAGGAAGAAGAUGCAAAUACCACUUAUUUCCAUCUCUCCACUAUUCUUAGAAGAGGG